GGGCCCUUAGCUCAGCCUAGCAGAGUGUUCCGUUCGCAACGGAAAGGUCGCGGGUGCGAAUCCCGCAGGGUCCACCA
rnacentral:tRNA from 1 species